GAUGAACGCUGGCGGCGUGCCUAAUACAUGCAAGUCGAGCGAACGGACGAGAAGCUUGCUUCUCUGAUGUUAGCGGCGGACGGGUGAGUAACACGUGGAUAACCUACCUAUAAGACUGGGAUAACUUCGGGAAACCGGAGCUAAUACCGGAUAAUAUUUUGAACCGCAUGGUUCAAAAGUGAAAGACGGUCUUGCUGUCACUUAUAGAUGGAUCCGCGCUGCAUUAGCUAGUUGGUAAGGUAACGGCUUACCAAGGCAACGAUGCAUACCCGACCUGAGAGGGUGAUCGGCAACACUGGAACUGAGACACGGUCCAGACUCCUACGGGAGGCAGCAGUAGGGAAUCUUCCGCAAUGGGCGAAAGCCUGACGGAGCAACGCCGCGUGAGUGAUGAAGGUCUUCGGAUCGUAAAACUCUGUUAUUAGGGAAGAACAUAUGUGUAAGUAACUGUGCGCAUCUUGACGGUACCUAAUCAGAAAGCCACGGCUAACUACGU
rnacentral:rRNA from 1 species